ACGUAGGGCGCAAGCGUUGUCCGGAAUUAUUGGGCGUAAAGAGCUCGUAGGCGGUUUGUCGCGUCUGCUGUGAAAGCCCGGGGCUCAACCCCGGGUCUGCAGUGGGUACGGGCAGACUAGAGUGCAGUAGGGGAGACUGGAAUUCCUGGUGUAGCGGUGAAAUGCGCAGAUAUCAGGAGGAACACCGAUGGCGAAGGCAGGUCUCUGGGCUGUUACUGACGCUGAGGGAAGCUGGAAAGCAGUAGGGAGCGAACAUGGAUUACCGACCCGUAGUCC
rnacentral:rRNA from 1 species